rnacentral:lncRNA from 1 species
UAAGAUUAAGAGAACACAGAAGAGGAAUUUUAUUUCAUUACUACUCCACUGGUAUCCAUCCUGGUACCAUGGCACUGAGCUUUGGCAGCUGGUGUUCUGUGCUAGAACAAGUGUGCAUCCUGCCUAUGAUUUAUCUAUUUCUGGUGUGCUAAAGUUGGACUCCUGAGAACAACAUCUGCUAAGUCAGCGGGAAGAGACUCUGGUUAAACAAGUGCCACCUCUGCAGGACCAGUGAACUGAAUGGAAGUGUGGAGGACCAAUGUUUCUGGGAGCCUGACUGACUCAGAGAACGGGCGAAUGGAUGUGAAGGCAUCCUUCUUUAGAUUAUGAGCAGUAUAACAGCUAAAAUUCUGUGUCAGGUCAGCCCUUUAAUGAACAGAAGUCAACACCAUGUGGCUAAGGAACAUUCAUACGACUCCAUUUAG